CUCACUCACUCUCUCUCUCUCUCUCUCUCUCUCUCUCUCUCUCUCUCUCCUCAUCGCCCUCUCUCCUUUCCUCUAUAGAGACAGGAAGGGCAAAAUAGGAAGCAAAAGAACAAUGUUAAGAGUAACUUGGGGAGGGGGCAUAAGGAAGUAUGAGAAGGAGCGCUGAAUAGCUUCACUAUGCUCGCCUUCUCCUUUAAUGUGAAGCAGGUGUGCUGAGCUCAAGCUUUCUCCAGAGACCGCAGCGAGCCUGCCCCCUCAGUACCCGGCUCUCUAAAGCACUUCGGGGGGGGGGGGUUCUAAACCUAGAAGCGUCGCCUCUCACCUGGUUUGCUCUUGGGGAACUCGUGGUGUGAAACCUAAUCUUCCUUUCAGAGUUGGCAUGGGAGUGGUUUUCCAGAAUGGGCUCUGUAGCUCGGUGCUUGGGGCUUCCAGGACGGAGCAGCUGGCAGAAUGACACAAGCCUGUGUUUCUGAGCCUGUGUUUCUGAGCCUGUGUUUCUGAGCCUGUGUUUCUGCUGUGCUAACCGGGGAUGCAGGGAGUGCUGGCUUCAUGCAAUCUGUUGGAGACGUGUGAGACAGACUUCACUGCUGUGGGGAUUGUCUCAGCUUCCUCUUCAAGAACAACAGCAAGUCCCAAGCUUUGUGUCUACACAAACGUUCCUCUCUUGGCAACCAGGUUUUAUGGUAUCUUCCUCUUUCCACUUAGACAUGCCAACACUGGACCAGGCCUGCUCAUCAGUGACAAAGCAUCUGAGAUGAUGCCAGAAAAUGUCCUGGUGCUGCCAAUAGAUUAACUGAUGUUGCCAUAUCCAUCCACCCACACCGUCUACUCCAGUGGAUGCACCCACCCUACACCCGCUGGAGCCGAUGAGACUCCCACGUCUACACUGACGCUGCUACAUGGACUAUAUAUAAUUUAAUAAAGCAUAGACUGUUUAUUAGCUGGGUUGGAGAAUGGAUUCCUUCUUCAGUCUUGGUCGUCUGAAGGUUUCUUCUUUAAUUCCACCAGGGAGAUUUUCCUUGACACUGUCAUCUCCGGCUUGUGCAUUAGGGAUCUGGACUCAAACAUUUGGAAAGCUGCUUUGUGACAGAAAAUGCAUAAUUUUAGAAAUUUCAUGACAGAACACUGACCUCAGCAGGACAAACACUAAAGUAUUUUUCUCUUCUUAGACAAAUGCAGUCAAAAUGUCAUUUCUCAUAUAAAGUAUAAUUCAGAGAGGCAGGGACAUAUUGAUAUGUCUAGCAAUGUAUGAGGCAUUUAUAGAUGUAUUUUUUUAAUGUAGAAAUUUCACACAUGCAGCUGUGUCUACAAAUAGCAUAAAAUGUCUUGUGUUCAUUUGGUGAACUUUUUUGGUGAGCAGGUCUACUGGACGUAAACACACACAUGAAUAAACAUUAACGUACAGUGAGAGAAUGUAACAGUACCUACUGUGAGAAGCCUGUGAGACUAAGUACCUACUACAAGAGGCCUUUGAGACUAAGUAUGUACUGGGAGAGGCCUGUGAGAUUACCUACUGUGGGAGAACUGUGAGACUAAGCACUUACUGUGAGAAGCCUGUGAGACAGCUGCACAACAGGAAGAAGAUUUGGGGAAAUAGCGCAAAAGGAUGAUGGGAGAUUUAGAGAGGACAAGGUACAAUAGGAGGAAGGCCGCACUCAAGGUGAGAAACAGUUUCAAGUGCCAUCAGCCCUGAUUUGAGUAAGAGAGUCAGGUGAGUGUGUGCAGCUCUACUAGUUUACAGCAACCUCUGAAAUCUGAGCGUCUGGAAAU